rnacentral:rRNA from 1 species
GACGAACGCUGGCGGCGUGCUUAACACAUGCAAGUCGAACGGUGAAGCGAGUGCUUGCACUCGUGGAUCAGUGGCGAACGGGUGAGUAACACGUGAGUAACCUGCCCAUCACUCUGGGAUAAGCACUGGAAACGGUGUCUAAUACUGGAUACGACCAACCCUUGCAUGGGGUGUUGGUGGAAAGAUUUAUCGGUGAUGGAUGGACUCGCGGCCUAUCAGCGUGUUGGCGGGGUAAUGGCCCACCAAGGCGACGACGGGUAGCCGGCCUGAGAGGGUGACCGGCCACACUGGGACUGAGACACGGCCCAGACUCCUACGGGAGGCAGCAGUGGGGAAUAUUGCACAAUGGGCGAAAGCCUGAUGCAGCGACGCCGCGUGAGGGAUGACGGCCUUCGGGUUGUAAACCUCCUUCAGCAGGGAAGAAGCGAAAGUGACGGUACCUGCAGAAGAAGCACCGGCUAACUACGUG